rnacentral:rRNA from 1 species
UACAGAGGUCCCAAGCGUUGUUCGGAUUCAUUGGGCGUAAAGGGUGCGUGGGCGGCGCGGUAAGUCGGGUGUGAAAUCUCGGGGCUUAACUCCGAAACUGCAUUCGAUACUGCCGUGCUUGAGGACUGGAGAGGAGACUGGAAUUUACGGUGUAGCGGUGAAAUGCGUAGAUAUCGUAAGGAAGACCAGUGGCGAAGGCGGGUCUCUGGACAGUUCCUGACGCUGAGGCACGAAGGCCAGGGGAGCAAACGGG